ensembl:misc_RNA Metazoa_SRP Metazoan signal recognition particle RNA
GCCAAUAAAUUCCAGUUUAUUAGGGAGGAUGAGGCUGACAGAUCUAAGUUCAGUUGUUCUGAAAUGCAGUGGGCUAUGGUGAUUGGGUCUCUACACUAGGUCUGGCAUUAAUAUGGAGAGCACCCAGUAAGCAGGCCUUCAUGUUGUAUUAGGAGGGGUGAACUAGUCAAGGUUAGACACUGAGCAGAUCAAAAUUCCUGUGCUAAUCAGAGUGGAAUCAGGCCUGUGAGCAGUCUCUGUAUUUCUAGCUUACCUGAGAUAGAAAGACCUGUCUU